GCCCUGUGGUUACUGUGAACUGGGAUGACCAUGCAGUUCUGCAGUUAUUAAGGAUGGGCAAACAAUAACACUGUGAUAUUUGCAUGGAGGCUGUAACGGUUGAUAUACAGUCUCGGUAGCCCGGUCACAGAGACAUUG